rnacentral:rRNA from 1 species
CCUACGGGUGGCUGCAGUCGAGAAUCAUUCACAAUGGGGGAAACCCUGAUGGUGCGACGCCGCGUGGGGGAAUGAAGGUCUUCGGAUUGUAAACCCCUGUCAUGUGGGAGCAAAUUAAAAAGAUAGUACCACAAGAGGAAGAGACGGCUAACUCUGUGCCAGCAGCCGCGGUAAUACAGAGGUCUCAAGCGUUGUUCGGAAUCACUGGGCGUAAAGCGUGCGUAGGCUGUUUCGUAAGUCGUGUGUGAAAGGCGCGGGCUCAACCCGCGGACGGCACAUGAUACUGCGAGACUGGAGUAAGGGAGGGGGAACCGGAAUUCUCGGUGUAGGAGUGAAAUGCGUAGAUAUCGAGAGGAACACUCGUGGCGAAGGCGGGUUCCUGGACAUUAACUGACGCUGAGGCACGAAGGCCAGGGGAGCGAAAGGGAUUAGAUACCCCAGUAGUC